GAUGACUUGUCCCUUCUGGCGAAAUUGGCAAGGAGCCCCUUGGCCCUAUCUCUUCAUUCUAGUACAUAUGGCCUCUUAGACCCCCAGGAGCCUACAGUCUGCAUUUCCAAGAGACCACUGCAGAGAUUUCCACAGCACCUCUGCUUGUCUAAUGAUAUGGGCACCAGAUUCCAGCCUUAUUUCACAUUCAGCCAAUACAGCUCUGCACACAGAAAGGAGGAUCGUCUGCUUCUGGAACACAGCUGAGCUCGAGUAGCUGAAACUGUGGAAAGUGAAAUA